rnacentral:rRNA from 1 species
GGGUUGUGAGGUUAAGCGACUAAGCGUACACGGUGGAUGCCCUGGCAGUCAGAGGCGAUGAAGGACGUGCUAAUCUGCGAUAAGCGUCGGUGAGGUGAUAUGAACCGUUAUAACCGGCGAUUUCCGAAUGGGGAAACCCAGUGUGUUUCGACACACUAUCAUUAACUGAAUCCAUAGGUUAAUGAGGCGAACCGGGGGAACUGAAACAUCUAAGUACCCCGAGGAAAAGAAAUCAACCGAGAUUCCCCCAGUAGCGGCGAGCGAACGGGGAGCAGCCCAGAGCCUGAAUCAGUGUGUGUGUUAGUGGAAGCGUCUGGAAAGGCGUGCGAUACAGGGUGACAGCCCCGUACACAAAAAUGCACAUACUGUGAGCUCGAUGAGUAGGGCGGGACACGUGGUAUCCUGUCUGAAUAUGGGGGGACCAUCCUCCAAGGCUAAAUACUCCUGACUGACCGAUAGUGAACCAGUACCGUGAGGGAAAGGCGAAAAGAACCCCGGCGAGGGGAGUGAAAAAGAACCUGAAACCGUGUACGUACAAGCAGUGGGAGCCUCUUAAUGGGGUGACUGCGUACCUUUUGUAUAAUGGGUCAGCGACUUAUAUUCUGUAGCAAGGUUAACCGAAUAGGGGAGCCGAAGGGAAACCGAGUCUUAACUGGGCGUUAAGUUGCAGGGUAUAGACCCGAAACCCGGUGAUCUAGCCAUGGGCAGGUUGAAGGUUGGGUAACACUAACUGGAGGACCGAACCGACUAAUGUUGAAAAAUUAGCGGAUGACUUGUGGCUGGGGGUGAAAGGCCAAUCAAACCGGGAGAUAGCUGGUUCUCCCCGAAAGCUAUUUAGGUAGCGCCUCGUGAAUUCAUCUCCGGGGGUAGAGCACUGUUUCGGCAAGGGGGUCAUCCCGACUUACCAACCCGAUGCAAACUGCGAAUACCGGAGAAUGUUAUCACGGGAGACACACGGCGGGUGCUAACGUCCGUCGUGAAGAGGGAAACAACCCAGACCGCCAGCUAAGGUCCCAAAGUCAUGGUUAAGUGGGAAACGAUGUGGGAAGGCCCAGACAGCCAGGAUGUUGGCUUAGAAGCAGCCAUCAUUUAAAGAAAGCGUAAUAGCUCACUGGUCGAGUCGGCCUGCGCGGAAGAUGUAACGGGGCUAAACCAUGCACCGAAGCUGCGGCAGCGACACUAUGUGUUGUUGGGUAGGGGAGCGUUCUGUAAGCCUGCGAAGGUGUACUGUGAGGUAUGCUGGAGGUAUCAGAAGUGCGAAUGCUGACAUAAGUAACGAUAAAGCGGGUGAAAAGCCCGCUCGCCGGAAGACCAAGGGUUCCUGUCCAACGUUAAUCGGGGCAGGGUGAGUCGACCCCUAAGGCGAGGCCGAAAGGCGUAGUCGAUGGGAAACAGGUUAAUAUUCCUGUACUUGGUGUUACUGCGAAGGGGGGACGGAGAAGGCUAUGUUGGCCGGGCGACGGUUGUCCCGGUUUAAGCGUGUAGGCUGGUUUUCCAGGCAAAUCCGGAAAAUCAAGGCUGAGGCGUGAUGACGAGGCACUACGGUGCUGAAGCAACAAAUGCCCUGCUUCCAGGAAAAGCCUCUAAGCAUCAGGUAACAUCAAAUCGUACCCCAAACCGACACAGGUGGUCAGGUAGAGAAUACCAAGGCGCUUGAGAGAACUCGGGUGAAGGAACUAGGCAAAAUGGUGCCGUAACUUCGGGAGAAGGCACGCUGAUAUGUAGGUGAAGUCCCUCGCGGAUGGAGCUGAAAUCAGUCGAAGAUACCAGCUGGCUGCAACUGUUUAUUAAAAACACAGCACUGUGCAAACACGAAAGUGGACGUAUACGGUGUGACGCCUGCCCGGUGCCGGAAGGUUAAUUGAUGGGGUUAGCGGUAACGCGAAGCUCUUGAUCGAAGCCCCGGUAAACGGCGGCCGUAACUAUAACGGUCCUAAGGUAGCGAAAUUCCUUGUCGGGUAAGUUCCGACCUGCACGAAUGGCGUAAUGAUGGCCAGGCUGUCUCCACCCGAGACUCAGUGAAAUUGAACUCGCUGUGAAGAUGCAGUGUACCCGCGGCAAGACGGAAAGACCCCGUGAACCUUUACUAUAGCUUGACACUGAACAUUGAGCCUUGAUGUGUAGGAUAGGUGGGAGGCUUUGAAGUGUGGACGCCAGUCUGCAUGGAGCCGACCUUGAAAUACCACCCUUUAAUGUUUGAUGUUCUAACGUUGGCCCCUUACCGGGGUUGCGGACAGUGUCUGGUGGGUAGUUUGACUGGGGCGGUCUCCUCCUAAAGAGUAACGGAGGAGCACGAAGGUUGGCUAAUCCUGGUCGGACAUCAGGAGGUUAGUGCAAUGGCAUAAGCCAGCUUGACUGCGAGCGUGACGGCGCGAGCAGGUGCGAAAGCAGGUCAUAGUGAUCCGGUGGUUCUGAAUGGAAGGGCCAUCGCUCAACGGAUAAAAGGUACUCCGGGGAUAACAGGCUGAUACCGCCCAAGAGUUCAUAUCGACGGCGGUGUUUGGCACCUCGAUGUCGGCUCAUCACAUCCUGGGGCUGAAGUAGGUCCCAAGGGUAUGGCUGUUCGCCAUUUAAAGUGGUACGCGAGCUGGGUUUAGAACGUCGUGAGACAGUUCGGUCCCUAUCUGCCGUGGGCGCUGGAGAACUGAGGGGGGCUGCUCCUAGUACGAGAGGACCGGAGUGGACGCAUCACUGGUGUUCGGGUUGUCAUGCCAAUGGCACUGCCCGGUAGCUAAAUGCGGAAGAGAUAAGUGCUGAAAGCAUCUAAGCACGAAACUUGCCCCGAGAUGAGUUCUCCCUGACUCCUUGAGAGUCCUGAAGGAACGUUGAAGACGACGACGUUGAUAGGCCGGGUGUGUAAGCGCAGCGAUGCGUUGAGCUAACCGGUACUAAUGAACCGUGAGGCUUAACCUUACAACGCCGAAGGUGUUU